UUAGUGGCGGACGGGUGAGUAACGCGUGGGUAACCUGCCUUACACAGGGGGAUAACACUUAGAAAUAGGUGCUAAAACCGCAUAAGNGCACAGCUUCGCAUGAAGCGGUGUGAAAAACUCCGGUGGUGUAAGAUGGACCCGCGUCUGAUUAGCUUGUUGGCGGGGUAACGGCCCACCAAGGCGACGAUCAGUAGCCGGCCUGAGAGGGCGGACGGCCACAUUGGGACUGAGACACGGCCCAGACUCCUACGGAAGGCAGCAG
rnacentral:rRNA from 1 species